UGUGUAAGUCAGAUGUGAAAUCCCCGGGCUCAACCUGGGAAUUGCCUUUGAUACUGCACGGCUUGAGUGUGGCAGAGGGGGGUGGAAUUCCACGUGUAGCGGUGAAAUGCGUAGAUAUUUGGAGGAAUACCGAUGGCGAAGGCAGCCCCCUGGGAUAACACUGACGCUCAUGCACGAAAGCGUGGGGAGCAAACAGGAUUAGAUACCCUGGUAGUCCACGCCCUAAACGAUGUCUACUAGUUGUCGGGUCUUAAUUGACUUGGUAACGCAGCUUACGCGUGAAGUAGACCGCCUGGGGAGUACGGUCGCAAGAUUAAAACUCAAAGGAAUUGACGGGGACCCGCACAAGCGGUGGAUGAUGUGGAUUAAUUCGAAGCAACGCGAAAAACCCUUACCUACCUCUUGACAUGGAUGGAAUCCCGAA
rnacentral:rRNA from 1 species